AAAAACCACUUUGGGACUAUAGUGGACCCCAGACAGCUGGACCCCAGACAGCAGCACACACCUAUUCCCAAGAAGCAGGAGCUGUCAAGGAAAAUCAAAGAAAUGGAGACCUGGGGAGAAGAGGCUGUCCUGGGGCCCUGAAGUGGAGACGGCAGUUCCACAGAAAAGUCCUCCAUGACUUCUCUUCAAGACUUCAAGCCAGGUGGACAAGAGACUAAAGAGGAUACACAGAGAAUCAGGACAACUGAUGCCCACUGGGGAAUGGGACAGAAAGGCUGGGAUGGAAGAGGUGGUUGAAGGAACAAUAGCACAUAAAGAGGAUCCCACCUCUGGGCUCCAGGAGCAAGCAAUUGAUUGCACGCAGCAUGCAGCACCAGCUAACCUUCAAAUUCAUGUCUUUGGCUCUAUCUCUACUACACUCAGUUAUCACAUCAAUCAAAGCAAGUAAAAAUAUAAGUAAAAACAGGUAGCUCACUACACGGAUCAUGGAUAUUGUAUAAAUUAUACCACAAUGCUUGUCUUAAAGAUAUUUCCUAGGCAGAAAAAGAGAAGUUACAAGAAGAAUGGAAGAUGAGGGUGUCACAAUUUGGGGAGUGGGAGACAGGGUUGUGAUGUUUCAAAAAGAAAGGCAUUUAGUAGCAAUAUAAAUUUGCUGAUGAGUGAAUGGGUGCAUGGGUGGAUGUAAUUUCACAUGUAAUGGAUGUAGGUGCAUAGACAUGUCAUUUCACAAUGUCAAAUUCAAUAUCAUUGAGAGGAUUUAUGGUGCUUCUAAAGCAUGUUUUCUGUGUGGUUUUUAAGUAAUGCAAGCAGAUAGUACAAAAUUUAAGUAGUACAAAUAAUAAAAAUAAAGGUCUCACACAACAAAACAAAACCAAAAAACCCAGUAAACAAAACUGUUGAGAGGAUUGAGAAUGUGGUAAACUCAGUGCUAUUAAAGGCUCCAAGCUCAUUGGUUUUUAGAUCAUGAGAAUUAAUAACCCUUCUGGACCUCUGCUCUUUAAUCUACAAGUGGAAGACUGCACUGAGCUAUAGCAGGACUUUUAAGA